UACGGAGGGUGCAAGCGUUAUCCGGAUUCACUGGGUUUAAAGGGUGCGUAGGAGGGCAGGUAAGUCAGUGGUGAAAUCUCCAAGCUUAACUUGGAACUGCCGUUGAUACUAUCUGUCUUGAAUACCGUGGAGGUGAGCGGAAUAUGUCAUGUAGCGGUGAAAUGCUUAGAUAUGACAUAGAACACCAAUUGCGAAGGCAGCUCGCUACACGAAUAUUGACUCUGAGGCACGAAAGCGUGGGGAUCAAACAGGA
rnacentral:rRNA from 1 species